CACGUAGGGCGCAAGCGUUGUCCGGAAUUAUUGGGCGUAAAGAGCUCGUAGGCGGUCUGUUACGUCUGCUGUGAAAACCCGGGGCUUAACCCUGGGCUUGCAGUGGAUAUGGGCAGACUAGAGGCAGGUAGGGGAGAAUGGAAUUCCCGGUGUAGCGGUGAAAUGCGCAGAUAUCGGGAGGAACACCGGUGGCGAAGGCGGUUCUCUGGGCCUGUACUGACGCUGAGGAACGAAAGCGUGGGGAGCGAACAGG
rnacentral:rRNA from 1 species